AGUGAACGCUGGCGGUAGGCCUAACACAUGCAAGUCGAACGGCAGCACAGGAGAGCUUGCUCUCUGGGUGGCGAGUGGCGGACGGGUGAGGAAUACAUCGGAAUCUACUCUGUCGUGGGGGAUAACGUAGGGAAACUUACGCUAAUACCGCAUACGACCUACGGGUGAAAGCAGGGGACCUUCGGGCCUUGCGCGAUUGAAUGAGCCGGUGUCGGAUUAGCUAGUUGGCGGGGUAAAGGCCCACCAAGGCGACGAUCCGUAGCUGGUCUGAGAGGAUGGUCGGCCACACUGGAACUGAGACACGGUCCAGACUCCUACGGGAGGCAGCAGUGGGGAAUAUUGGACAAUGGGCGCAAGCCCGAUCCAGCCAUACCGCGUGGGUGAAGAAGGCCUUCGGGUUGUAAAGCCCUUUUGUUGGGAAAGAAAUCCAGCUGGCUAAUACCCGGUUGGGAUGACGGUACCCAAAGAAUAAGCACCGGCUAACUUCGUGCCAGCCGCCGCCGUAA
rnacentral:rRNA from 1 species